CCUACGGGAGGCAGCAGUGGGGAAUAUUGGACAAUGGGGGAAACCCUGAACCAGCGACGCCGCGUGAGUGAAGAAGUAUUUCUGUACGUAAAGCUCUAUCAGCAGGAAAGAAAAUGACGGUACCUGUCUAAGAAGCCCCGGCUAACUACGUGCCAGCAGCCGCGGUAAUACGUAGGGGGCAAGUGUUAUCCGGAUUUACUGGGUGUAACGGGAGCUUAGACGGCAGCGCAAGUCUGGAGUGAAAUGCCGGGGCCCAACCCCGGAACUGCUCUGGAAACUGUGAAGCUGGAGUGCAGGAGAGGUAAGCGGAAUUCCUGGUGUAGCGGUGAAAUGCGUAGAUAUCAGGAGGAACACCGGCGGCGAAGGCGGCUUACUGGACUGUAACUGACGUUGAGGCUCGAAGGCGUGGGGAGCAAACAGGAUUAGAUACCCUAGUAGUC
rnacentral:rRNA from 1 species